UAAUAGUCAAGGGAGGCUAUUUAUAAUAGAAAUAAAAUCCUAAUAUGCAAAAAUAAUCCUAAUCCUAAUAGGAGUCUAAAAUCCUAAUAGCCAAGGGAGGCUAUUUACAAUAGAAAUAAAAUCCUAAUAUGCAAAAAUAAUCAUAAUCCUAAUAGGAGUCUAAAAUCUUAAUAGUCAAGGGAGGCUAUUUACAAUAGAAAUAAA
rnacentral:lncRNA from 1 species